rnacentral:rRNA from 1 species
AGCGAACGUUAGCGGCGCGCCUAACACAUGCAAGUCGCACGAGAAACGGAGCAAUCCGCGGUACAGUGGCGCACGGGUGAGUAACACGUGGAUGACCUUCCCUGGAGUGGUGGAUAACCUGCCGAAAGGCGGGCUAAUACAGCAUGGGACCACGACGCUUUGGCGAUGUGGUGAAAGCGGGCCUCUAUAUAUAAGCUCGCGCUCCGGGACGGGUCCGCGUCCCAUCAGCUAGUUGGUGAGGUAACGGCUCACCAAGGCAACGACGGGUAGCUGGUCUGAGAGGAUGGCCAGCCACACUGGAACUGAGACACGGUCCAGACUCCUACGGGAGGCAGCAGUGGGGAAUCUUGCGCAAUGGGCGAAAGCCUGACGCAGCGACGCCGCGUGGGCGAAGAAGGCCUCGGGUUGUAAGACCGUCGUGGGGGAGGAACGGAACCGU